rnacentral:rRNA from 1 species
GACGAACGCUGGCGGCGUGCUUAACACAUGCAAGUCGAACGGAAAGGCCCUGCUUUUGUGGGGUGCUCGAGUGGCGAACGGGUGAGUAACACGUGAGUAACCUGCCCUUGACUUUGGGAUAACUUCAGGAAACUGGGGCUAAUACCGGAUAGGAGCUCCUGCUGCAUGGUGGGGGUUGGAAAGUUUCGGCGGUUGGGGAUGGACUCGCGGCUUAUCAGCUUGUUGGUGGGGUAGUGGCUUACCAAGGCUUUGACGGGUAGCCGGCCUGAGAGGGUGACCGGCAACAUGGGGACUGAGAUACGGCCAAGACUCCUACGGGAGGAAGAAGUGGGGAAUAUUGAACAAUGGGCGGAAGCCUGAUGAAGAAACGCCGCGUGCGGGAUGACGGCCUUCGGGUUGUAAACCGCUUUCGCCUGUGACGAAGCGUGAGUGACGGUAAUGGGUAAAGAAGCACCGGCUAACUACGU